rnacentral:lncRNA from 1 species
UCAUGUUUCACACAGCUAUCCAGUCUUCACUGAACGCAUCUCAGCUGUGACCCUUUUGAUAGGAAGGAAAAAUAUCCCAGUAGUUCUGCCCCUAUAAUUCUGGUGAUGAAGAUGGGAUACCUGACUUGCCUACUGAUGAGAUCCUGAAACAACGGAUAAAGACCUGGCAAAGGAAGGUCACAUGGAGGUAAGAGCAACCUCAUCUGAGUGUGGAACUUCACGGGAUAUCAGGAAAAUUCUCCUGUUUGAAGAAGACAGAAGAUUCUAUCUCCAUUGUAACUGCUUAAAAGAUAGUUCUCUGUUCCUUAGCCCUUAAGGUUCCUCCAGUCAGAAUACACAAUCAACCCAGCAGCUAACUCAGCCAGCCUGCAUCACAAAAAACACCAGCCAGCUGCCAAGCCAGGUGACUCAGAGUCUUUGAUCAUCUCAGUCCUCCUCCUCUAAUGCACUGGGCUCUCCUCAUUUCUCCAGAAGUGUUUCCAUUUCCACAUUUCAAUCCCUUUAGUGAGCCCUUAUAGAUGUCAUCUCCCUGAACACUGACCCUUGGUGCAUUGGUAUAGCUUAAAUUUAGUUCAUGUCCCUAGCUUGAUGAUGGCUCAGUCUUACUUAGGUUUGUGCUAAAUAUGUAGAAAUCUAAAGCCUAUGGAUAUUUGAAUAAAU